rnacentral:rRNA from 1 species
AACUUUCAACAACGGAUCUCUUGGUUCUGGCAUCGAUGAAGAACGCAGCGAAAUGCGAUAAGUAAUGUGAAUUGCAGAAUUCAGUGAAUCAUCGAAUCUUUGAACGCACAUUGCGCCCUCUGGUAUUCCAGAGGGCAUGCCUGUUCGAGCGUCAUUUCAACCCUCAAGCCUAGCUUGGUGUUGGGGCAUUACCUUCCCUUACGGGAGGGUAAGCCCUGAAAUU